GAGUUUGAUCAUGGCUCAGAAUGAACGCUGGCGGCGUGCUUAACACAUGCAAGUCGAGCGAGGCCAGGGGGGCAACUCCCUGAGUCGAGCGGCGGACGGGUGAGUAACACGUGGGUAACCUACCCGGAAGUGGGGAAUACCUCGGGGAAACUCGAGCUAAUACCGCAUAACAUCUUUGGGACGAAAGUUCCGACGAUCAAAGCGGGGUCGCAAGAUCUCGCGCUACCGGAUGGGCCCGCGCCCGAUUAGCUAGUUGGUGAGGUAACGGCUCACCAAGGCGACGAUCGGUAACCGGCCUGAGAGGGCGAUCGGUCACACCGGAACUGAGACACGGUCCGGACUCCUACGGGAGGCAGCAGUGGGGAAUCUUGCGCAAUGGGCGAGAGCCUGACGCAGCAACGCCGCGUGGAGGAUGAAGGCCCUUGGGUUGUAAACUCCUGUCGGCUGGGAAGAAGUUGUUCGCGACUAAUACUCGCGGACAUUGACUGUACCAGCAAAGGAAGCCCCGGCUAACUCUGUGCCAGCAGCCGCGGUAAUACAGAGGGGGCCAGCGUUAUUCGGAAUUAUUGGGCGUAAAGGGCGCGUAGGCGGCCAUGCGUGUCUCCCGUGAAAUCCCUCGGCUCAACCGAGGACGUGCGGAAGAAACUGCAAGGCUCGAGUCCGGAAGAGGGGGGCGGAAUUCCCAGUGUAGCGGUGAAAUGCGUAGAUAUUGGGAGGAACACCAGUGGCGAAGGCGGUCCCCUGGGCCGGAACUGACGCUGAGGCGCG
rnacentral:rRNA from 1 species